AGCGGCAGCCACGAGCAGGGCGCCGUCCAGGCCCGCGCCGCCGGCCGCCAGCAGCUCCAGCACCGCCAGCCGCCCGCCCGCGGCCGCCCAGUGCGCCGCCGUCCAGCCGCGCGCGUCCUCCGCCUCCGCUGCCGCGGGUCCCGGGCCCGGAGCCUCCAGCAGGCGCGCGGCCAGCAGCGUGUGGCCCAGGGCAGCGGCCCAGUGCAGCGGCGUGAGGCCCGUCCCGGAGCGAGCCGCCGCCGAGGCCCCGCGCUGCAGCAGCAGCUCGGCCACCCGCGAGUGUCCGUGCCAGGCGGCCUCGUGCAGCGCGGUGCGCCCCGCCCGGUCCACCGCGCCCACCGGGGCCCCUCGCUGCAGCAGGAGACGCACCAGGGGCGCGUGGCCCCGCAGCACGGCCAGAAGGAAAGCUCCGUAAGGCUGACCGGGAAAGAAGCGAGGAGCUCUGGGGGCUGGGUGGAAAGUCCCGUACUCAUCAGGGCCAGGGAGGCCACAGAAACUACCUCACGCCAGCUUCCCAGGGGUACAGCGGCUAGAAUGGACCUCGAGGAGGCCCCUCCCAAGACUCCCGUCUCCCGGGUUCCACCGCAGUGGGGGCAGCCACAGCUGCCUCUGCAAUGCUUGUAGGACCCACACACAGUGGGGCACGGAGGGGCAGAGGCCGCAGCCCCUUUGCCAUGAAUCCAAAGAACCUGGAGUGAUUCUGCAGAGACGUUCGAACCAGAGCGACUCCAUCUUGAACAGGGGCUGGGUAAAAUGAGGCCGAGACCGGCUGGGCCGCAUUCCCUGGAGGUCAGGCAUUCUUAGUCACAGGAUGAGAUCAGCACAAGAUACAGAUCACAAAGACCCCGCUGAUAAAACAGGAUGCCGUGAAGAAGCCGGCCCCAAACCACCAAAACCAAGACAGCCAGUCCUCACUGCUCAUUAUGUGCUGAUUAUAAUACAUUAGCAUGAGACACGCCCACCAGCACCAGGACCAUUUACAGUUGCCAUGGCAAUGCCGGGAAGUUACCCUAGAUGGUCUAAAAGGGGGAAGAACCCUCACUUCCGGGAAUUGCCUGCCCCUUUCCCGGAAAAGUCCGGAAUAAUCCACACCAUGUUUAGUACAUAUCAAGAAACAACAAUAAGUGUUCUCGUCGGAGUAGCCCAGGCCGCUGCUCAGCCUAUGGGGCAGCCCUUCUCUUAUUCCUUUACUUUCCUAUUAAACUUGCUUUCAGUUUA
rnacentral:lncRNA from 1 species